ACAGCAGAAAACUUCCAUGCUUUGAGCACUGGAGAGAAAGGAUUUGGUUAUAAGGGUUCCUGCUUUCACAGAAUUAUUCCAGGGUUUAUGUGCCAGGGUGAUGACUUCACACGCCAUAAUGGCACUGGUGGCAAGUCUAUCUACGGGGAGAAAUUUGAUGAUGAGAACUUCAUCCUGAAGCAUACAGGUCCUGGUAUCUUGUCCAUGGCAAAUGCCGGACCCAACACAAACGGUUCCCAGUUUUUCAUCUGCGCUGCCAAGACUGAGUGGUUGGAUGGCAAGCAUGUGGUCUUGGCAAGGUGAAAGAGGGCAUGAAUAUUGUGGAAGCCAUGGAGCGCUUUGGGUCCAGGAAUGGCAAGACCAGCAAGAAGAUCACCAUUGCUGACUGUGGACAGCUCUAAUAAAUUUGACUUAAAUGUUUUAUCUUAACCACCAGACCAUUCCUUCUGUAGCUCAGGAGAGCACCCCCUACCCCAUUUGCUCGCAAUAUCCUGUAAUCUUUGUGCUCUCGCUACAGUUCUUUGGGUUCCAUAUUUUCCUAUUCCCCUCCACAUCUAGCUGGAUUGCAGAGUUAAGUUUAUGAUUAUGAAAUAAAAACUAAAUAACAA